ensembl:snoRNA small nucleolar RNA SNORD94
UCUGUGGUGAUGAAACGCGCAGGGGUACGGACCUCAGCCGAUGAUGGGGGCUGAGCGCGGCUGCAGCUCAUCAGAGGACGUGUGGUUCACUGACACAGCUGCAGCAGCGCGACACAGACGCCCAUCUGAACAGA